AUUGAACGCUGGCGGCAUGCCUUACACAUGCAAGUCGAACGGCAGCACGGGAGCAAUCCUGGUGGCGAGUGGCGAACGGGUGAGUAAUAUAUCGGAACGUGCCCAGUAGUGGGGGAUAGCCCGGCGAAAGCCGGAUUAAUACCGCAUGAGACCUGAGGGUGAAAGCGGGGGAUCGCAAGACCUCGCGCUAUUGGAGCGGCCGAUAUCAGAUUAGCUAGUUGGUGGGGUAAAGCCUACCAAGGCAACGAUCUGUAGUUGGUCUGAGAGGACGACCAGCCACACUGGGACUGAGACACGGCCCAGACUCCUACGGGAGGCAGCAGUGGGGAAUUUUGGACAAUGGGCGCAAGCCUGAUCCAGCAAUGCCGCGUGCAGGAAGAAGGCCUU
rnacentral:rRNA from 1 species